UUCUUUUCUUCUGUUCUUCAUUUCUUCCUUUCUGUCGAUCUCAGUUCAGAAGAACUGAGUUGUUUAUGUGUGAGAUUUUGAUAGAAAUUUAGGUAGCUUGAUGAAUCGAAGAAGAUGAAGUUAGAAAUGAGGGUGUUUGAGUUCCAGGAGAAGAAUAAGGUGAUGGUGAUGUUGAAUUGAAGCUAGGGUUUCUAGUAAUUUUAAUUCAAGUUGGUUUCGUGAUGUUUGGGAAGAUUUGAGAACUGGGUUUAGUUGAUUGAGAUUCAAAUGAAGUUUUGAGACUGUUCUGGUGAUGAAUCGAAUUCAAAACUAAGCGGAAAAAGUUAGUCUAUAUUAACAACGAUCGAUUCAAAGGAUGAACCAACGGAUUGAGGAAUUCAAGGUAGGAGAGGCUUGUCAUCAAAUCAGUUUCAGUACUCAGAAGAAAUGGUGCGCGUGAAGAUAUCCGUUUUCGUAGCUUAAAGCUUUUAGCGAUGUUAGAGAUGUUGUGAAUCUUUUAAAUAUAUGUAUUAUUUAUUUAUUCUGUAAAACAACACAUAAUUGUAUUCAUAUGACAAAGAGAUUUUCAUUUA